AGAGUUUGAUCCUGGCUCAGGACGAACGCUGGCGGCGUGCCUAACACAUGCAAGUCGAACGGAGUAAGAAUUUCGGUUUUUACUUAGUGGCGAACGGGUGAGUAACGCGUGAGCAACCUGCCUUCCUGAGGGGGAUAACACCUGGAAACAAGUGCUAAUACCGCAUAAGACCACAUGUCCGCAUGGACGAGGGGUCAAAGGAGCGAUCCGCAGGAAGAGGGGUUCGCGUCCCAUUAGCUAGUUGGCGGGGCAACGGCCCACCAAGGCGACGAUGGGUAGCCGAGCUGAGAGGCUGAUCGGCCACACUGGAACUGAGACACGGUCCAGACUCCUACGGGAGGCAGCAGUGGGGAAUAUUGGGCAAUGGGGGAAACCCUGACCCAGCAACGCCGCGUGAGGGAAGAAGGUUUUCGGAUCGUAAACCUCUGUCCUUGGUGAAGAGGAAGAGACGGUAGCCAAGGAGGAAGCCCCGGCUAACUACGUGCCAGCAGCCGCGGUAAUACGUAGGGGGCGAGCGUUGUCCGGAAUUAUUGGGCGUAAAGGGUGCGUAGGCGGCACUUUAAGUUGGAUGUGAAAUCCCCGGGCUUAACUUGGGAGCUGCAUCCAAUACUGGAGAGCUAGAGUGCAGGAGAGGUAAGCGGAAUUCCUAGUGUAGCGGUGAAAUGCGUAGAUAUUAGGAGGAACACCAGUGGCGAAGGCGGCUUACUGGACUGUAACUGACACUGAGGCACGAAAGCGUGGGGAGCAAACAGGAUUAGAUACCCUGGUAGUCCACGCUGUAAACGAUGAAUACUAGGUGUAGGGGGUAUCAACUCCCUCUGUGCCGCAGCAAACGCAAUAAGUAUUCCGCCUGGGGAGUACGGCCGCAAGGUUGAAACUCAAAGGAAUUGACGGGGGCCCGCACAAGCAGCGGAGCAUGUGGUUUAAUUCGACGCAACGCGAAGAACCUUACCAGGUCUUGACAUCCAGUUAAACUCAUGGAGACAUGAGGUGUCUUCGGACGAAGUGAGACAGGUGGUGCAUGGUUGUCGUCAGCUCGUGUCGUGAGAUGUUGGGUUAAGUCCCGCAACGAGCGCAACCCUUAUUACCAGUUACCAGCGGGUUAUGCCGGGGACUCUGGUGAGACUGCCGGGGACAACUCGGAGGAAGGUGGGGACGACGUCAAAUCAUCAUGCCCCUUAUGUCUNNCAGUCCCAGUUCGGAUUGUGGGCUGCAACCCGCCCACAUGAAGUCGGAGUUGCUAGUAAUCGCGGAUCAGAAUGCCGCGGUGAAUACGUUCCCGGGCCUUGUACACACCGCCCGUCACACCAUGGGAGUUGGGAGUGCCCGAAGUCAGUAUCCUAACCGCAAGGAGGGAGCUGCCGAAGGCAAGAUCAAUGACUGGGGUGAAGUCGUAACAAGGUAGCCGUAUCGGAAGGUGCGGCUG
rnacentral:rRNA from 1 species